rnacentral:rRNA from 1 species
UACGUAGGUGGCGAGCGUUAUCCGGAUUUAUUGGGUUUAAAGGGUGCGUAGGCGGCCUGUUAAGUCGGUGGUUAAAGGUAGCAGCUUAACUGUUUUACAUGCCAUCGAUACUGACAGGCUUGAGUGAUGAGAAGGCGGGCGGAAUUUCUGGUGUAGCGGUGAAAUGCAUAGAUACCAGAAGGAACCCCAAUUGCGAAGGCAGCUCGCUGCAAAUCAACUGACGCUGAUGCACGAAAGCGUGGGGAUCAAACAGG